AACUAGAAAGCUUUAGUAAGCACAUAACUUUUAAUUAUGAGAUAACAUUUGUUUCCAGUUA
rnacentral:tRNA from 1 species